AACGUGGACCCGUUACCCGGGUUGCGGACAGUGUCUGGUGGGUAGUUUGACUGGGGCGGUCUCCUCCUAAAGAGUAACGGAGGAGCACGAAGGUUGGCUAAUCCUGGUCGGACAUCAGGAGGUUAGUGCAAUGGCAUAAGCCAGCUUGACUGCGAGCGUGACGGCGCGAGCAGGUGCGAAAGCAGGUCAUAGUGAUCCGGUGGUUCUGAAUGGAAGGGCCAUCGCUCAACGGAUAAAAGGUACUCCGGGGAUAACAGGCUGAUACCGCCCAAGAGUUCAUAUCGACGGCGGUGUUUGGCACCUCGAUGUCGGCUCAUCACAUCCUGGGGCUGAAGUAGGUCCCAAGGGUAUGGCUGUUCGCCAUUUAAAGUGGUACGCGAGCUGGGUUUAGAACGUCGUGAGACAGUUCGGUCCCUAUCUGCCGUGGGCGCUGGAGAACUGAGGGGGGCUGCUCCUAGUACGAGAGGACCGGAGUGGACGCAUCACUGGUGUUCGGGUUGUCAUGCCAAUGGCACUGCCCGGUAGCUAAAUGCGGAAGAGAUAAGUGCUGAAAGCAUCUAAGCACGAAACUUGCCCCGAGAUGAGUUCUCCCUGAGACUUAAAGUCUCCUGAAGGAACGUUGAAGACGACGACGUUGAUAGGCCGGGUGUGUAAGCGCAGCGAUGCGUUGAGCUAACCGGUACUAAUGAACCGUGAGGCUUAACCCUACAACGCCGAAG
rnacentral:rRNA from 1 species